UGAGGAAUAUUGGUCAAUGGUCGAAAGACUGAACCAGCCAUGCCGCGUGAAGGUCACGGCCCUAUGGGUCUUAAACUUCUUUUGUAAGGGAGCAAUAAGGCGUACGUGUACGUCGAUGAGAGUACCUUACGAGUAAGCAUCGGCUAACUCCGUGCCAGCAGCCGCGGUAAUGCGGGGGAUGCAAGCGUUAUCCGGAUUUAUUGGGUUUAAAGGGUGCGUAGGCGGUGAAUUAAGUCAGCGGUGAAAUUUAGGGGCUCAACCUCUACCGUGCCGUUGAUACUGGUUCGCUGGAAUGCGGAUGCCGUGGGAGGAAUGUGUGGUGUAGCGGUGAAAUGCAUAGAUAUCACACAGAACACCGAUUGCGAAGGCAUCUCACGAAUCCGCUAUUGACGCUGAUGCACGAAAGCGUGGGGAUCAAACAGGAUUAGAUACCCUGGUAGUCCACGCUGUAAACGAUGAUAACUAACUGUCGGCGAUACACUGUCGGUAGCCAAGCGAAAGCGAUAAGUUAUCCACCUGGGGAGUACGACCGCAAGGUUG
rnacentral:rRNA from 1 species